rnacentral:rRNA from 1 species
CAACAGUUACUGAACCCUAUCAAACUCCGAAUGCCAUAUACUUGUACCCCGGCAGUCAGACUACGAAUGAUAAGAUCCGUGGUCAAAAGGGAAACAGCCCAGACCAUCAGCUAAGGUCCCAAAGUGUAAGUUAAGUGGGAAAGGAUGUGGGAUUUCUAAGACAACUAGGAUGUUGGCUUAGAAGCAGCCACUCAUUUAAAGAGUGCGUAAUAGCUCACUAGUCGAGAGAUCCUGCGCCGAAGAUGUAACGGGGCUCAAACUUACCACCGAAGCUAUGGAUGUGUACUUUGUACACGUGGUAGAGGAGCUUUCUGUACAGGUUGAAGUCAUACCGUAAGGAGUGGUGGACAGUACAGAAGUGAGAAUGCUGGCAUAAGUAGCGAAAAACAAGUGAGAAUCUUGUUGACCGAAUAUCUAAGGUUUCCUGGGGAAGGCUCGGCCUCCCAGGGUUAGUCGGGACCUAAGCCGAGGCCGAAAGGCGUAGGUGAUGGACAACUGGUUGAUAUUCCAGUACUACCAUAAUGCGUUUGACAAAUGGGAUG